UGAGGAAUAUUGGUCAAUGGACGAGAGUCUGAACCAGCCAUGCCGCGUGAAGGAUGAAGGCGUUCUGCGUUGUAAACUUCUUUUAUCAGGGAAGAAACCUCAGAUUUCUAUUUGAGCCGACGGUACCUGAUGAAUAAGCACCGGCUAACUCCGUGCCAGCAGCCGCGGUAAUACGGAGGGUGCAAGCGUUAUCCGGAUUCACUGGGUUUAAAGGGUGUGUAGGCGGGCUUUUAAGUCAGUGGUGAAAUCUCCGAGCUCAACUCAGAAACUGCCAUUGAUACUAUUAGUCUUGAAUAUUGUUGAGGUGGGCGGAACGGGUCAUGUAGCGGUGAAAUGCAUAGAUAUGACCCGGAACACCGAUUGCGAAGGCAGCCCACUAAGCAAUGAUUGACGCUGAGGCACGAAAGCGUGGGGAUCAAACA
rnacentral:rRNA from 1 species